GGUUAAGCGACUAAGCGUACACGGUGGAUGCCCUGGCAGUCAGAGGCGAUGAAGGACGUGCUAAUCUGCGAAAANNNNNNNNNNNNNNNNNNNNNNNNNNNNNNNNNNNNNNNNNNNNNNNNNNNNNNNNNNNNNNNNNNNNNNNNNNNNNNNNNNNNNNNGAGUAGGGCGGGACACGUGGUAUCCUGUCUGAAUAUGGGGGGACCAUCCUCCAAGGCUAAAUACUCCUGACUGACCGAUAGUGAACCAGUACCGUGAGGGAAAGGCGAAAAGAACCCCGGCGAGGGGAGUGAAAAAGAACCUGAAACCGUGUACGUACAAGCAGUGGGAGCACCUUCGGGUGUGACUGCGUACCUUUUGUAUAAUGGGUCAGCGACUUAUAUUCUGUAGCAAGGUUAACCGUAUAGGGGAGCCGAAGGGAAACCGAGUCUUAACUGGGCGUUAAGUUGCAGGGUAUAGACCCGAAACCCGGUGAUCUAGCCAUGGGCAGGUUGAAGGUUGGGUAACACUAACUGGAGGACCGAACCGACUAAUGUUGAAAAAUUAGCGGAUGACUUGUGGCUGGGGGUGAAAGGCCAAUCAAACCGGGAGAUAGCUGGUUCUCCCCGAAAGCUAUUUAGGUAGCGCCUCGUGAACUCAUCUUCGGGGGUAGAGCACUGUUUCGGCUAGGGGGCCAUCCCGGCUUACCAACCCGAUGCAAACUACGAAUACCGAAGAAUGUUAUCACGGGAGACACACGGCGGGUGCUAACGUCCGUCGUGAAGAGGGAAACAACCCAGACCGCCAGCUAAGGUCCCAAAGUCAUGGUUAAGUGGGAAACGAUGUGGGAAGGCACAGACAGCCAGGAUGUUGGCUUAGAAGCAGCCAUCAUUUAAAGAAAGCGUAAUAGCUCACUGGUCGAGUCGGCCUGCGCGGAAGAUGUAACGGGGCUAAACCAUGCACCGAAGCUGCGGCAGCGACACUAUGUGUUGUUGGGUAGGGGAGCGUUCUGUAAGCCGUUGAAGGUGGCCUGUGAGGGCUGCUGGAGGUAUCAGAAGUGCGAAUGCUGACAUAAGUAACGAUAAAGCGGGUGAAAAGCCCGCUCGCCGGAAGACCAAGGGUUCCUGUCCAACGUUAAUCGGGGCAGGGUGAGUCGACCCCUAAGGCGAGGCCGAAAGGCGUAGUCGAUGGGAAACAGGUUAAUAUUCCUGUACUUGGUGUUACUGCGAAGGGGGGACGGAGAAGGCUAUGUUAGCCGGGCGACGGUUGUCCCGGUUUAAGCAUGUAGGCGGAACGAUUAGGUAAAUCCGGUCGUUUUUUAACGCUGAGGUGUGAUGACGAGGCACUACGGUGCUGAAGUAACAAAUGCCCUGCUUCCAGGAAAAGCCUCUAAGCAUCAGGUAACAUCAAAUCGUACCCCAAACCGACACAGGUGGUCAGGUAGAGAAUACCAAGGCGCUUGAGAGAACUCGGGUGAAGGAACUAGGCAAAAUGGUGCCGUAACUUCGGGAGAAGGCACGCUGAUAUGUAGGUGAAGCCCCUGCGGGUGGAGCUGAAAUCAGUCGAAGAUACCAGCUGGCUGCAACUGUUUAUUAAAAACACAGCACUGUGCAAACACGAAAGUGGACGUAUACGGUGUGACGCCUGCCCGGUGCCGGAAGGUUAAUUGAUGGGGUUAGCGGCAACGCGAAGCUCUUGAUCGAAGCCCCGGUAAACGGCGGCCGUAACUAUAACGGUCCUAAGGUAGCGAAAUUCCUUGUCGGGUAAGUUCCGACCUGCACGAAUGGCGUAAUGAUGGCCAGGCUGUCUCCACCCGAGACUCAGUGAAAUUGAACUCGCUGUGAAGAUGCAGUGUACCCGCGGCAAGACGGAAAGACCCCGUGAACCUUUACUAUAGCUUGACACUGAACACUGGUCCUUGAUGUGUAGGAUAGGUGGGAGGCUUUGAAGUGUGGACGCCAGUCUGCAUGGAGCCGUCCUUGAAAUACCACCCUUUAAUGGCUGGUGUUCUAACGUAGACCCGUUACCCGGGUUGCGGACAGUGUCUGGUGGGUAGUUUGACUGGGGCGGUCUCCUCCCAAAGAGUAACGGAGGAGCACGAAGGUUAGCUAAUCCUGGUCGGACAUCAGGAGGUUAGUGCAAUGGCAUAAGCUAGCUUGACUGCGAGAGUGACGGCUCGAGCAGGUGCGAAAGCAGGUCAUAGUGAUCCGGUGGUUCUGAAUGGAAGGGCCAUCGCUCAACGGAUAAAAGGUACUCCGGGGAUAACAGGCUGAUACCGCCCAAGAGUUCAUAUCGACGGCGGUGUUUGGCACCUCGAUGUCGGCUCAUCACAUCCUGGGGCUGAAGUAGGUCCCAAGGGUAUGGCUGUUCGCCAUUUAAAGUGGUACGCGAGCUGGGUUUAGAACGUCGUGAGACAGUUCGGUCCCUAUCUGCCGUGGGCGCUGGAGAAUUGAGGGGGGCUGCUCCUAGUACGAGAGGACCGGAGUGGACGCAUCACUGGUGUUCGGGUUGUCAUGCCAAUGGCACUGCCCGGUAGCUAAAUGCGGAAGAGAUAAGUGCUGAAAGCAUCUAAGCACGAAACUUGCCCCGAGAUGAGUUCUCCCUGA
rnacentral:rRNA from 1 species